GACAGAGAGGACAGAGAGGGGGAGAGAGAGAGAGAGAGAGAGAGAGAAACAGAAAGACACACAGAGGGGGUUACAGUCAUGGCCCGAUUACAGGACGAUAAAGCAGCUCAUGAUGAUGAAUGAAGCGAACUGUUCUGAGGAAACUUCAACGACUUGUUCUGUUUUCCUCCUUUCUCUCGACAGACAGAGGAAGUGACAAGACCCCCACAGUGUGCAGGACAAGAGG